rnacentral:rRNA from 1 species
AUUGAACGCUGGCGGCAGGCCUAACACAUGCAAGUCGAGCGGAUGAGGGAGCUUGCUCCUGGAUUCAGCGGCGGACGGGUGAGUAAUGCCUCGGAAUCUGCCUGGUAGUGGGGGAUAACGUCCGGAAACGGGCGCUAAUACCGCAUACGUCCUGAGUGUGAAAGUGGGGGAUCUUCGGACCUCACGCUAUCAGAUGAGCCCAGGUCGGAUUAGCUAGUUGGUGGGGUAAAGGCCUACCAAGGCGACGGUCCGUAACUGGUCUGAGAGGAUGAUCAGUCACACUGGAACUGAGACACGGUCCAGAAUCCUAAGGGAAGCAGCAGUGGGGAAUAUUGGACAAUGGGCGGAAGGCUGAUCCAGCCAUGCCGGGUGUGUGAAGAAGGUCUUCGGAUUGGAAAGCACUUUAAGUUGGGAGGAAGGGCAGUAAGUUAAUACCUUGCUGGUUUGACGUUACCAACAGAAUAAGCACCGGCUAACUUCGUG